CAAGCUUGCAGGAUGAUGUCAGGGCUGGCACCAGCAGAGAACAACUCUGUUGACAAGAAGAUUAAUUAGACAAACGCAGUGCCAGUCAGACUCUGCCGCCAUCAGAGGUCAGCUCCACUCAGGCCCCUGCUAGAGACUCUUUUUUUUUUUUUCCUCCCCCGUCUUUUUAAAAGAAAACUUAAUCUCCUAACAAGACAGCCCCAAAACAAUUCAUGGCGUGCCAGCUGAGCAAGUACAUACAAGCAUGCUCUGCAGAGGUUCCAGGAACCCACCAGGGCCUCCCUUCUACCUGUCCAGACAGAUGCUGCUCCAGGAAGAAUGCUGGCGUCCACACUGGUCCUUCCUCAUCAGAGACACUGCUCUGGGUGGGCUGUCGAUGCCUUUCCUAGGGGCUUCUCUUUUUAUAGGCGGGGGUGGGCAGCCCUCCAUGCCAGUCUCUGAGCUUCGAUGUCCCCCCACCCCACUGACCCCUUCCUCUCAAAUCCUCUCUUUCUUCAACAGGUGCCUGCCCCGAUGGGAAGAGAGUGCGAGAGUGGCCUCUCUUAUUAUUCCACAGGCAUUUCUUGAGCAUGUUAUAUCCUAGCAGCCCUGAGGAUAAACAGGUGAUCUUAGCAUCACCUCAGAGGUGAGAGUGAGCCUGAGAGGGGCUUCUGUCUAGGAGGGGAGGCACUGAGAGCAGUCAACUAAAAGCACAGUGAUGUUCAUGCGCGUCUGUGGGAAAGGAUCCAAGAAAGGAUGGUAGGAGAAGGAACCUGGAGGGGGCAGCCAUUUUGGAAAAGAUGACUCCAAAGGAGGAAGUAGGGUUGAGGCCUGAGGAAUUCUGGGAAACUGCCUGGGAAAGCUGCCUCAGUGCCACAGUGUCAGGGGCAGGAGUGGGACGGUGCCAAGAGGAAGUGCUUUGUAAAUAUCUGUCCAUUGCAAGAAUAAAAGAUUAUUUCUAAAUUGUGUCUCUCACACAUAGCCCAACAGUGGAAGUUACCCAUGGGAGUGAGGGUGGCUAAAUUGUAGAUUCUUGCCUCUACUGAUUCUAAAGGGUGGCAUUGUGCCCAGAAAAUGCCAUGUGAGCAGAUUUCCUAUCCUCCCGACACCCCCUCCCCUUUUAUAAUGGGUUCCCUCUCAUGCCCCAUCUCCAAAGCAGGCCACUGGGCCCCAGACUGCUUCUGUCUGUCUGGAGAGAGGCCAAAAUCGGAGCAACUGAGUGACUGGUGAGCAACCCUGCCCACCCUCCACCCCUUCUAGGUAUCUGCCAAGGCCCAGGGCCUUACCGUCCCUGAACGCUCUGUGCCCUCAGUGAAAGAAUGGAGCGUCAGCCUGCAGGAAUCAGUUGCAGACCCACACCCCUGUGUUCCAGGCUGGUCACAGGUAUGAGUCCCAGCUGGAUGACAGUACUUACACCUGUGCUAAACAGAGUCUUUGGGGCCUGUAGGAUCCUGCAGGGGUCACAGCCAUCAAUGCAGUUACUAGAUCUUAGGACUGGGGGAGUCGGCAGAGCUGCUGAGAGUGGUAGACAAUAUGCUGCGGCCUUGACUGUCUGUGGGGGUCCGUAGAUGGGGAUAUGCUCUUGGAUCUGGAGCCUCCAUGGGCGCCCAUGUAACCUUAGGUCUGUGUGCCUCUCCCCGGAUCUCUUUGAUGUCCAGCAGGUGACAGCCUCAUCUAAAGUGUGAUGGUGGUGACAGGCAGGAGGCCGCCCACUGCUGUGGUACAUGGGGAAGCAACUUAAGGAAGGAAAGGACAGGAUUGUUUCUGACACACGGUUUAAGGGGACACAGUCCUUUGUGUCUGGGAAGCAUGCAGCGGGGUGUGAAAGGUGUCCCAUUGUCACAGUCAGGGAACAGAGAUGAACGCCCGUGCUCAGCUUGCUUUCUCUUUUUGACUCUGUCCAAGAUGUCAGUUCAAGGCAUGGUGCCACCCACUUUCAAAAUGAACCUUUCCACCUUAGCUGAACCUCCUUAGACCUACGGUCACAGACACACCCAAGGGCUGUGUCUCCCAAGUGAUUUCAAAUUCAGUUAGCAAGGGUGAUUAAUCAGCACGGGGUGUAUAGAAUGUGGGCAGUGGGGCCUGAUGGGAUUACUCGCCCUUUCUCUGUCUCUCUCUGUCUGUGUCUGUCUGUCUGUCUGUCUGUCUGUCUGUCUGUCUGUCUCUCACACACACAACACACACACACACACACACAUACAGGAGGACACAUCCUUGCAUCUCAGGGGACUGUAAUGUAUACACUCCAGUGCCACUGACACCAGCAGCAGUGUGGGGCUGCAGGUGACACCAGGGAAGCUGCAGAUUUUGCUCACGUGAUCCAGAACUCAGGGAUGUGGAAAGCCUGACUCCAGGAGAGGAGGGGCAUGAGGACCAGAUGGGUUGUCGAGGCACUGUCGGAAGUCACCUACUGAUCGGAUCUGCUAAAGGCUCUUUCUUUCCAGCCGCCUGUGGAGUGGAAUUCCUGAGGCCCACAUGGGAGCUCACAGUUGCCCUUCAUACAUCCCACAGUCCUCCCAUGCCCCUAAGUUCCCACAAAAAGGAGCCUUGCCCCCAAGGCACUGGCCUACUUCACUCCUAUGAGAGACAGUGAACUUAGAAAGGGGUAGCAUUAGGAGUUCUGUGCCCUGUCUUGAGCCUGCUACCAGCAUGUAACUACAGGCCACAUCUUCCCCACCAGGCCUUUCUCUGUAGGCAGAGGGAUUAUGGCGUUGAUUUAAAACUCAGAGAAGAUUUCGUGGGAAGCUUCUCUACUC
rnacentral:lncRNA from 1 species